GGAAGGCUUAUAGCACAGUGGUAGAGCACAUCCUUUGCAUAUGAAAAGUCCCAGGUUCAACCCCUGGUGUUUUCCA